GAAUCUUGCGCAAUGGGCGAAAGCCUGACGCAGCGACGCCGCGUGAGUGAUGAAGGCCUUCGGGUUGUAAAGCUCUGUGGAGAGGGAAGAAUAAGUGUUGGCUAACAUCCAGCAUGAUGACGGUACCUCUUUAGCAAGCACCGGCUAACUCUGUGCCAGCAGCCGCGGUAAGACAGAGGGUGCAAACGUUGUUCGGAAUUACUGGGCGUAAAGCGCGUGUAGGCGGCUUGGCAAGUCGGGUGUGAAAGCCCCGGGCUCAACCUGGGAAGUGCACUCGAAACUGCUUGGCUUGAGUACUGGAGAGGGAAGCGGAAUUCUCGGUGUAGAGGUGAAAUUCGUAGAUAUCGAGAGGAACACCGGUGGCGAAGGCGGCUUCCUGGACAGUCACUGACGCUGAGACGCGAAAGCGUGGGGAGCAAACAGG
rnacentral:rRNA from 1 species